rnacentral:lncRNA from 1 species
GAGAAUUGAAAGUAAGUUUCAAUUCACAAUCGAUUUGAAAGAGUUCUAAUCGCCCACUGCCUCGCUAAAAAGAACCUAAUGGAUCGCACACCGUGUAAAGUAAUGCUUGAAGGAUUUGACGGAGAUGAGUAAGGAUAAUUAAAUGGUUUAAUUGUUUAUGGCAAGAAUUAAUUAAUAUGUUAAUUAAUCAAAAGAAUAAGUUCGUUGUAAACCUUGAGUUAGUUUUGGGCCUUAAAGCCCAAAUUGGGCUUCGAAUCGUCAAGCCCAUUAGCUUAAGUUGUAUGACAACUUAACAAACAAAAUUAAAGGAGCCCAAAACAGCCCAAAGGCUUGGGAAAACCGGCCAUAGGUUAACAAACAAAAUUCAAGAAGCCCAAAACAGCCCAAAGGCUUGGGAAAACCGGCUAUAGAGAGAGGAAGGGCCUUUUGGUCCAAAAUGCAUACAAAAGUUGAAAGCAUCGAAGGGGUAUCUUUGCUCCAUCCUUAUUAGGGUUUUCUAAGGAUGAAAAGUGAGAAAAACUCUCUCUCUUUUCUCUCUAGAAUAGCCGGCCACCAUGGGAGAGUUUACUAGCAUCUAACACUUCCAUGGCCACUCAUCUUUUUCCUCAACCAUCCUUGGUGUCGGAACUUAGAGGUCUCCAACUUUGGGGACUUUUGGAGAAACCAAUUCUU